GUGCUCUCCCUUAUAUAUGUUUAGAGAGAAACGUUUUUUCUUGCUGUGUCAUUUUGUGGGAAGAUUUUUACAAUCUUGCGGUAACUGUUCCCGUCCAUUAUGCACUUGUGGUAACGUAAUAAACUAAAAUAUUUGCAUGCUCAUGUAUGACUAAGCUAAGAGAACUUCCUGUGUGUAAAACAAUUUUCCAUAGGUAAAUUCUUUAGAGUAAAUAUAAUAUAACUAAACUAUGAUAUAUAAUAUAUAAAUAUAGUAAAAUGUAUUAAUGUAUAAUAUAAAAUGUUAUAAAACAUACAUGAUAAUUGCUAUCAUGUAACA